rnacentral:rRNA from 1 species
CCUACGGGAGGCAGCAGUGGGGAAUAUUGGGCAAUGGGCGCAAGCCUGAUCCAGCAACGCCGCGUGAAGGAAGAAGGCUUUCGGGUUGUAAACUUCUUUUCUCAGGGACGAAGCAAGUGACGGUACCUGAGGAAUAAGCCACGGCUAACUACGUGCCAGCAGCCGCGGUAAUACGUAGGUGGCAAGCGUUAUCCGGAUUGACUGGGUGUAAAGGGCGUGUAGGCGGGGACGCAAGUCAGAUGUGAAAACCACGGGCUCAACCUGUGGCCUGCAUUUGAAACUGUGUUUCUUGAGUACUGGAGAGGCAGACGGAAUUCCUAGUGUAGCGGUGAAAUGCGUAGAUAUUAGGAGGAACACCAGUGGCGAAGGCGGUCUGCUGGACAGCAACUGACGCUGAGGCGCGAAAGCGUGGGGAGCAAACAGGAUUAGAUACCCUGGUAGUC